rnacentral:tRNA from 1 species
UUGGUAGGAUUCGACUUGCACGAACAUCUAUUCAAUGUAAAUGAAUGGCUUAACUAAUCAAGCUCCCCACCA